GAUGAACGCUGGCGGCGUGCCUAUACAUGCAAGUCGAGCGAACAGACGAGGAGCUUGCUCCUCUGACGUUAGCGGCGGACGGGUGAGUAACACGUGGAUAACCUACCUAUAAGACUGGGAUAACUUCGGGAAACCGGAGCUAAUACCGGAUAAUAUAUUGAACCGCAUGGUUCAAUAGUGAAAGACGGUUUUGCUGUCACUUAUAGAUGGAUCCGCGCCGCAUUAGCUAGUUGGUAAGGUAACGGCUUACCAAGGCAACGAUGCGUAGCCGACCUGAGAGGGUGAUCGGCCACACUGGAACUGAGACACGGUCCAGACUCCUACGGGAGGCAGCAGUAGGGAAUCUUCCGCAAUGGGCGAAAGCUUGACGGAGCAACGCCGCGUGAGUGAUGAAGGUCUUCGGAUCGUAAAACUCUGUUAUUAGGGAAGAACAAAUGUGUAAGUAACUAUGCACGUCUUGACGGUACCUAAUCAGAAAGCCACGGCUAACUACGUG
rnacentral:rRNA from 1 species